rnacentral:rRNA from 1 species
AUGGAUUGGUCAGUGCUGCCGGCUGGUGUCAAGUUUGAUCCCAUGGAUGAGGAGAUGAUCGAGCACCUUGAGGUCAAAGUGAGUGCUGACAGCGCGAGAUCUCACCCUCUCAUUGAUUUGUUCAUACCAACCAUCGAUAGCGAGCACGGCAUAUGCUACACCCAUCCUGAGAAACUUCAAGCGCAAUUCCAAGGCAUUCAAAAGGGGCACAUGGAUGCAUCGCAAGAUACAGUCGGAGUGCGGCAUGCACGCGAUGUAGCACAAGACCGGCAAUACCUUGCCGGUGAUGGUCAAUGGCCGGCAGACGGGCAGCAAAAAGGUUCUGGUGCUGCACACCAACAAGAACUUCAACCACUAGAGGACCAACUGGGUGAUGUACCAGUACCAUCUCAGGGACAUGGAGCAAGAGAAGGAGCGGGAGCUGGUCCUCUGCAAGAUUUUCUACCAGACGAACACUAG